CAGCCGCCGCGGUAAUACGUAGGGUGCGAGCGUUAAUCGGAAUUACUGGGCGUAAAGCGUGCGCAGGCGGUUUUGUAAGACAGGCGUGAAAUCCCCGGGCUCAACCUGGGAAUGGCGCUUGUGACUGCAAAGCUAGAGUGCGGCAGAGGGGGAUGGAAUUCCGCGUGUAGCAGUGAAAUGCGUAGAUAUGCGGGGGAACACCGAUGGCGAAGGCAAUCCCCUGGGCCUGCACUGACGCUCAUGCACGAAAGCGUGGGGAGCAAACAGGAUUAGAUACCCCAGUAGUCCCUGUCUCUUAUAC
rnacentral:rRNA from 1 species